rnacentral:rRNA from 1 species
GAUGAACGCUGGCGGCGUGCCUAAUACAUGCAAGUCGAGCGAACAGACGAGGAGCUUGCUCCUCUGAUGUUAGCGGCGGACGGGUGAGUAACACGUGGAUAACCUACCUAUAAGACUGGGAUAACUUCGGGAAACCGGAGCUAAUACCGGAUAACAUGUUGAACCGCAUGGUUCAACAGUGAAAGACGGUCUUGCUGUCACUUAUAGAUGGAUCCGCGCCGCAUUAGCUAGUUGGUAAGGUAACGGCUUGCCAAGGCAACGAUGCGUAGCCGACCUGAGAGGGUGAUCGGCCACACUGGAACUGAGACACGGUCCAGACUCCUACGGGAGGCAGCAGUAGGGAAUCUUCCGCAAUGGGCGAAAGCCUGACGGAGCAACGCCGCGUGAGUGAAGAAGGUCUUCGGAUCGUAAAACUCUGUUAUUAGGGAAGAACAAAUGUGUAAGUAACUAUGCACGUCUUGACGGUACCUAAUCAGAAAGCCACGGCUAACUACGUG